rnacentral:rRNA from 1 species
GUCCACGCCCUAAACGAUGUCAACUGGUUGUUGGGUCUUCACUGACUAAGUAACGAAGCUAACGCGUGAAGUUGACCGCCUGGGGAGUACGGCCGCAAGGUUGAAACUCAAAAGAAUUGACGGGGCCCGCACAAGCGGUGGAGCAUGUUGUUUAAUUCGACGCAACGCGAAGAACCUUACCUGGGCUAGAAAGUACAGGAACCUGGUUGAAAAAUCGGGGUGCCCUUCGGGGAAUCUGUGGUUAGGUGCUGCAUGGCUGUCGU